CACACACACACACACACACUCACUCACUCUCACACACACUCACACACACACUCUCUCGCACUCUCACAAAUACUCACACACACACACCAACACACACACACACACACACACACAGAAAUGCUUGGUCUGUGCAUUUUUAUCUUUGAAGUGUGUGUGUGUGUGUGUGUGUGGUCACAAACACUAAACAUACAAACUAAAAUAGCACAGUGACAUGAGACACACACACACACACACACACACAAACACACACACACACAGAGCUCUGUUAAUUUUAACCAGUGUGUAGCUCAUUUAUUAAAGAGAAUAAUGAAGUGUGUGGGUAAUUAGUAACUAGAAAAGGUGGAACCUCUCCUUUAUAUCCCUCCAUUACUGAGAGAGAGCUGAGACACACACUCUCUCAUACACAUUCACUCACAAACACACACACACACACACAAACACACACACAGAGCUGAAGCACAGAGGUUGACAUGAGCAGACAACGGACAGAGCAGCAUCUGCUCCACUUCAGCCCUCUGCCUAGCUGCUUCCUCUGGAGGUAGUUUCUCAAUCUCCCUGAAGAUGGGUGGAGGGAAGUCUGAGUCUCCAUCCUCUGAGCUUUCUCCAUCCGUCCGCUC